rnacentral:rRNA from 1 species
GUUAGGAAUAUUGGACAAUGGACGCAAGUCUGAUCCAGCCAUGCCGCGUGAGUGAUGAAGGCCUUCGGGUUGUAAAGCUCUUUAGCCGAUGAUUAUAAUGACUGUAGUCGGAAAAUAAGCCCCGGCUAACUUCGUGCCAGCAGCCGCGGUAAUACGAAGGGGGCGAGCGUUAUUCGGAAUCACUGGGCGUAAAGCGUGCGUAGGCGGUUUUGUAAGUUGGGAGUGAAAGCCCAGGGCUCAACCCUGGAAUUGCUCUCAAAACUGCAAGGCUCGAAUUCGGGAGAGGAUAGCGGAAUUGUCAGUGUAGCAGUGAAAUGCGUAGAUAUUGACAGGAACACCAGUGGCGUAAGCGGCUAUCUGGACCGAUAUUGACGCUGAGGCACGAAAGCGUGGGGAUCAAACAGGAUUAGAUACCCCGGUAGUCC